rnacentral:rRNA from 1 species
AACGUAGGAGACAAACGUUAUCCGGAGUUACUGGGCGUAAAGGGUGUGUAGGCGGUUGUUUAAGUUUGGUGUGAAAUCUCCCGGCUCAACUGGGAGGGUGCGCCGAAUACUGAAUGACUUGGAGUGCGGGAGAGGUGAGUGGAAUUCCUGGUGUAGCGGUGAAAUGCGUAGAUAUCAGGAGGAACACCGGUGGUGUAGGCGGCUCACUGGACCGUAACUGACGCUGAGACACGAAAGCGUGGGUAGCAAACAGG